UCAGGCUGGAUGGAGCUCUGAGCAACCUGAUCUUGCUGUCAGUGUUCAUUGCGGGGGAGUUGGACCAGGUUUUAAUCUUUGUAUAGAACACGCUCCGUGACCCCGACAGAGGAAAAGCAGCAAAGUCCUACAUCUAUGGAUGUGUUUAGAAGCGCCAAAUGAUCAAAGUUAACGCUGCGCAGCAGCGACUGAGUUACCCCCAUUAUCUCACGUCCCCGGCUUUGACAGACCGCAUCACUCAGUGCGUGGACGUAUCGCUAUUUGAUACACCAUGAAUAUUCAGGGCGCAUAUUCAAUUAACCAGUCCAAAUAACAGAGUGAAGAAGAACCCAAUCCGAUUCCCAUAGGUCUCAUUAAUGAACCUGUAAAGGGAAUGUGUUAGAAUUGCUGUGGGCUCUCACUCCACUUAAAGCCUGUAACGAAACCAAGAAUGACUUAUCCUCACUGUUCCGGGAGCACAUAAAGUUUGCACUCAGAACGAUGCAUCUGGAGAACUCUGGCACAGACAGCACGCUACAUCUCCUGGGCUUCCCAAGCUCUUGGUGCAAAGCCAGAGCGCCUGCCCACAGAAAGUGGAGAACCUCCUCUGCCAUCAGUCCCAUUCUUUCCAGCAGGAUGACUCCCAACCAAAGGGGCUCGACUUCCCAGCUUUUCCAUGCUUCUUAGUUGCGUAGCCCCACGCUGGGCUUGCUUUUCUGAAGUGCACUGAUGAAGGUUUCCACACCCUUGCUUAAGCUGGACAAGAAUCAAGUGGUGUGAUACACCGGUUGCUCUCUCCAGGGACUGGCAGGAGGUUUUGGGCCUGAAGCACACUUUGCUUUUCCCCUUGCUGAGGAGGAGUGGGAAGCAGUUCCCGGAUGCAGCAAUGAUAAACAGUGCUUAGGGAACUGCAGCCAUUCAUUCCCAGGUGUGUGAAAUGAAGGUCCCGUUAACCCACCCUCGAACCAGCCUCACCUUUCCUCGCAGCACGGUGAAAAGAUGCAGCCUAAGCUACAGUCUGGUUCUCCACGCUAUCGCAUUCUUCUGUCUCUAUCCACGUGGCUCUUAAUGUGCCAGGCAACACCAGCGUGGCUGAUCCAAAAGGAGCUCUCUGCGUUGGGGAUCCCAGCUCAGCACAACACAAAUAAAGGACCAGAUGCAAACCUUUAUUUUGGGCUCUCGCCACCUCCAAUCGACAUGAGGAGAGCUAAUUUUGUUCCAAGGAAAACGAAGACUGUUUUUUACCUCCCACGUCCUUCACAUAGUCUGUUUUUGUUUACUGAGACUGGGGUUACUCAGGCUUUUAUCUAGGUCUCAUUUAGGAAGGCUGCAUUGCUCAGUGUCUCCUGCUUCUUCAAAUCCAGUCCCUGCUCUUCUCGGCAAUCGCGUCUUUUAAUGCCAUUUAUAACCUGAUUGAGUGCUGUCUAAAAACUGGUUCUAUUUUUUUGUUGUUGUUUCCACUGCUCAUGCUGAAAAGAUGCUUCAGAAUCUCCUAUUUCAGUUACGCUUUUUUUUUUUUGCUUAGCACGAUGGCAACUCCGAAUAAGGGAAGGCAGCCCGAAAGGAAUAAAUAAUAUUGUGUGGAGAAGAAAAGCAACUAACCUACACAUUAUCAUUAAACAACAGGACGUGACAGGCAGUGUAAUGUUUCUGGUUUUGUUGUGAGUCAGGAAGAUGAAGGUCAUGUGAUAUCAGCUCUCUCUGCAGCACAAUAAACCUUAUUAACAUUAUAAGAUAAAAAUAAAUAUUCAACAAUUAUGGGAAAAAGGGUCACACGUUUGCAUCUGCUAGGGAUUAUUGACAGCAGUCUGACAUUACCGUCGGCUAAACCCACUACUGUGUUUUGUCCAGAGUUUCUAAAGCCAUUAUAUAAUGAUCGGUCUAAUAAAGUCUAGAUUAGAG
rnacentral:lncRNA from 1 species